rnacentral:rRNA from 1 species
UACGGAGGGGGCAAGCGUUGUUCGGAGUCACUGGGCGUAAAGGGUGCGCAGGCGGCAUGUCAAGUCUGGUGUGAAAGACCCCGGCUCAACCGGGGAACUGCGUGCGAUACUGCAUAACUCGAGUCCUGGAGAGGGUGGCGGAAUUCCCGGUGUAGGAGUGAAAUCCGUAGAUAUCGGGAGGAACACCAGUGGCGAAGGCGGCUUUCUGGACUGUAACUGACGCUGAGGCGCGAAAGCGUGGGUAGCAAACAGG